CCCGGUGACCAUAGGUUCCUGGUCAUACCCGUUCCCAUCCCGAACACGGUCGUCAAGCAGGAACCGCCGAUGAUAUUGCAUACGCGAGAAAGUAGGUCGUCGCCGGGG
rnacentral:rRNA from 1 species